rnacentral:rRNA from 1 species
AAUCAACGCUGGCGGCGUGCCUCAGACAUGCAAGUCGAACGAUUAAAGCUCUCUUCGGAGAGUGCAUAAAGUGGCGCACGGGUGAGUAACACGUAAGUAAUCUACCUUCGAGUGGGGAAUAACGUCCGGAAACGGACGCUAAUACCGCAUAAUGCAGCGGCACCUAAUGGUGACAGUUGUUAAAGACUUUAUUCGCUUGAAGAGGAGCUUGCGGCAGAUUAGCUAGUUGGUAAGGUAAUGGCUUACCAAGGCUUCGAUCUGUAACCGGUCUAAGAGGACGGUCGGUCACACUGACACUGAAUAACGGGUCAGACUCCUACGGGAGGCAGCAGUCGGGAAUUUUGGGCAAUGGGCGAAAGCCUGAACCCGCAACGCCGCGUGAAGGAUGAAGUAUUUCGGUAUGUAAACUUCGAAAGAAUGGGAAGAAUCAAUGACGGUACCAUUUAUAAGGUCCGGCUAACUACGUGCCAGCCGCCGCGGUAAAAC